GCUGAUUUUAGGGCUGGCACGUUAUUCGUAAUGAUGGGGUCACAGGUUCGAGUCCUGUAAGCGGCACCA
rnacentral:tRNA from 1 species